GACGAACGCUGGCGGCGUGCUUAACACAUGCAAGUCGAACGGAAAGGCCCGGCGUUUGUUGGGUGCACGAGUGGCGAACGGGUGAGUAAAACGUGUGUAACCUGCCCUUGUCUUUGGGAUAACUUUAGGAAACUGGGGCUAAUACCGGAUAGGAGCUACUGCUGCAUGGGGGGGGUUGGUAAGUUUCGGCGGUUGGGGAUGGACUAGCGGCUUAUGAGCUUGUUGGUCGGGUAGUGGCUUACCAAGGCUUUGACGGGUAGCCCGCCUGAGAGGGUGACCGGCCACAUUGGGCCUGAGAUACGGCCCAGACUCCUACGGGACGCAGCGGUGGGGAAUAUUGCGCAAUGGGCGGACGCCUGAUGCAGAAACGCCGCGUGCGGGAUGACGGCCUUCGGGUUGUAAACCGCUUUCGACUGUGACGAAGCGUGCGUGACGGUAAUGAGUCAAGAAGCCCCGGCUAACUACGUG
rnacentral:rRNA from 1 species